GCAGUCGGCUUGACGAUCGCCGCGCUGGAGCGCCGCAAGGCGCGACAGCGGGGAGGAAAGUCCGAACUCCGCAGGGCAGUGCGCCGGGUAACGCCCGGUCAGGGUGACUUGAAGGAAAGUGGCACAGAAAAUAUACCGCCGCGCCGAAGCGCCGUCCGGCGCGAAGGCGGGGUAAGGGUGAAAAGGUGCGGUAAGAGCGCACCGCGUCUGCUGUAAGGCAGAUGGCAGGCAAAACCCCGCACGGAGCAAGACCAAAUAGGGAGACGCUCGAGGACGGCCCGUCCAAAGUCUCCGGGUAGGUCGCUUGAUCCCGUCAGCAAUGCCGGGACUAGAGGAAUGAUUGUCGCCCGCAAGGGAACAGAAUUCGGCUUACGGCCGGCUGCGGUA
rnacentral:RNase_P_RNA from 1 species